rfam:Lupinus angustifolius cultivar Tanjil contig_3096, whole genome shotgun sequence.
AGAACAUUGAGAGGACCGAGAAGGACGCACCCCUGGUGUACCAGUUAUCGUGCCUACGGUAAACGCUGGGUAGCCAAGUGCGGAGCGGAUAACUGCUGAAAGCAUCUAAGUAGUAAGCCCACCCCAAGAUGAGUGCUCU